rnacentral:rRNA from 1 species
AGGAUGAACGCUGGCGGCGUGCCUAAUACAUGCAAGUCGAACGAGGUGCUUUUGUAGCAAUACGAGAGUAUCCUAGUGGCGAACGGGUGAGUAACGCGUUGGUGACCUACCCAAAGUGUGGAAUAACAGUCCGAAAGGAUUGCUAAUACCGCAUGUGGUUAUCGGGCUUAGAAACUGAUAACUAAAGGAGCAAUUCGCUUUGGGAGGGACCUGCGUCCCAUCAGCUAGUUGGUGAGGUAACGGCUCACCAAGGCUACGACGGGUAGGGACCUGAGAGGGUGACCCCCCACAAUGGAACUGAAACACGGUCCAUACACCUACGGGUGCAGCAGUAGGGAAUAUUGCGCAAUGGGCGAAAGCCUGAUGCAGCAACGCCGCGUGUGCGAUGGAAGGCCUUCGGGUCGUAAAGCACUUUUCUGAGAGAUGAAGAAAGACAGUAUCUCAAGGAAUAAGUCUCGGACUAAACUACGUGCCAGCAGCCGC